rnacentral:rRNA from 1 species
UACAGAGGUGGCAAGCGUUGUUCGGAAUUACUGGGCGUAAAGGGCGCGUAGGCGGCUUGUUGCGUCAGCUGUGAAAACCCGCAGCUCAACUGUGGGCUUGCAGCUGAUACGGGCAGGCUUGAGUUCGGUAGGGGAGACUGGAAUUCCUGGUGUAGCGGUGAAAUGCGCAGAUAUCAGGAGGAACACCGGUGGCGAAGGCGGCCUUCUGGGCCGAUCUUGACGCUGAGACGCGAAAGCGUGGGGAGCAAACAGG